UACAGAGGGGGCAAGCGUUGUUCGGAAUUACUGGGCGUAAAGGGCGCGUAGGCGGCCUUCUAAGUCGAACGUGAAAUCCCCGGGCUCAACCCGGGAACUGCGUCCGAUACUGGAAGGCUUGAAUCCGGGAGAGGGAUGUGGAAUUCCCAGUGUAGCGGUGAAAUGCGUAGAUAUUGGGAGGAACACCAGUGGCGAAGGCGGUCCCCUGGGCCGGAACUGACGCUGAGGCGCGAAAGCGUGGGUAGCAAACGGG
rnacentral:rRNA from 1 species